rnacentral:lncRNA from 1 species
GUACCUUGAAAUGCCGACACUAAUUCUUAUCAUCACCACUCGAAGUGUCCUACGCUUCCUUCUUUGCAAGCAUUUCUUGGUUGCUUCAAGCUUAACUUAAGAAUAAGAAAAAUUAACCAAACAAAUAGGGCAUACCAAAUUCAUUGUAACAUACAAUUAAAUCUCACAAAAGAUUCAUGCAAUUAACAAGAAAAAGUUUAUGGUGAAACUAGAGCCACCAAA